CCUACGGGAGGCAGCAGUGGGGGAUAUUGCACAAUGGGGGAAACCCUGAUGCAGCGACGCCGCGUGUGGGAAGACGGUCCUCUGGAUUGUAAACCACUGUCCUCAGGGACGAAGAUGACGGUACCUGGGGAGGAAGCUCCGGCUAACUACGUGCCAGCAGCUGCGGUAAUACGUAGGGAGCGGGCGGUGUUCGGAUUUACUGGGUGUAAGGGGAGCGUAGGCGGGGAUGCAAGGUGGGUGUCAAAACUACGGGCUCAACUGGUAGUCGCACUCGAAACUGGAGCUCUUGAGUGAAGUAGAGGCAGGCGGAAUUCCUGGUGUAGCGGUGAAAUGCGUAGAUAUUAGGAGGAACACCAGUGGCGAAGGCGGCCUGCUGGGCUUUUACUGACGCUGAGGCUCGAAAGUGUGGGGAGCAAACAGGAUUAGAUACCCCUGUAGUC
rnacentral:rRNA from 1 species